rnacentral:rRNA from 1 species
CCUACGGGGGCAGCAGUGGGGAAUAUUGGACAAUGGGCGAAAGCCUGAUCCAGCCAUGCCGCGUGUGUGAAGAAGGCCUUCGGGUUGUAAAGCACUUUCAGUGGGGAAGAAAGCCUUGGGGCUAAUACCCUCGAGGAAGGACAUCACCCACAGAAGAAGCACCGGCUAACUCCGUGCCAGCAGCCGCGGUAAUACGGAGGGUGCGAGCGUUAAUCGGAAUUACUGGGCGUAAAGCGCGCGUAGGCGGUCUGAUAAGCCGGUUGUGAAAGCCCCGGGCUCAACCUGGGAACGGCAUCCGGAACUGUCAGGCUAGAGUGCAGGAGAGGAAGGUAGAAUUCCCGGUGUAGCGGUGAAAUGCGUAGAGAUCGGGAGGAAUACCAGUGGCGAAGGCGGCCUUCUGGACUGACACUGACGCUGAGGUGCGAAAGCGUGGGUAGCAAACAGGAUUAGAUACCGCUGUAGUC